CAAGCCUUACCGGAGGAUCACUAGGCUCUCUACUCGAGUAAGGACGCAGUAAAAUGCGAUACGCGGCACUUAAUGCAGAUUGGGUGCCGAUGUCCG
rnacentral:rRNA from 1 species